GGAGGUAUUAGCUCAGUGGUGGACCAAUCGGCUGAAGUCCGAUAAGUCAACGAUUCAAUCCUCGCUGCCUCCA